GUCCGCGCGCUGGCCUGCGUCGGUGCUUUUAAUUUCCGUCAUUUGUCCAACGUGAAGUCACUACAAGCUGACAACACAGUUAGUUCAAAAUGAGCGGGUUGGACUUGAACGCACCUCAGUAAGUAGAAACUAAAACCCCCCACCUCCUCCUUCGUGCGACUAUUUCGGUGCAAUUGUAUGCUUAAAAUCCAUUACAUUUAAGAGACAAAUAUUUUUUACUUCAUGACUUUCGCCUAAGAGCUCGACUUUACUAGUUAUUUAUCAGUAUACAAUCGUUCCGCUCGUGCUCCUAUCAGGGCGGGAUGUGAACAAAUAUGGCGUCCUCCUCAGCAGAGCUGUAACGUUACCUAGCUUAAUUAAUUCGGUUAGCUAGAGUGCACGCUCAUUAGAGCCGCACUUGUUUCUGCGCAGUGAUACGGAAAUAAAAUAGUUCCUUCGCGAAGGUGCUCACGACGAGAUCUGUGGAUUAUCCCGAGUUUUCUGGACAGAAGCAUUUCCGUGGAGUUUUUCUAAUGUAUUGUUUAGGUGCUUUGAGCACCACAGGCAAAGUGCCCCUUACCUCCAUGAUGAACGAGAGAAGGCGGACAUGAUAAACGGCACUACAGCUCACUGACCAUCUGUCUGAGGCGGGUUGGCGGUGACCUUGAUGAGGUUGACAGCGUCCUGGUAGCUGUUGGAGUGAUUCUCAGAGGGCGGGUGUCUGCCUCUGCGCGUCUGCUGGAGCAGCAGCUCUGUGGAGAUAAUAACCCAGAUAAAGGUUUCAAGGAUCCACAUCAUGCUUGUGCACUGAACCUCGACUUUUGAUGGCACAAAAUCCUGCUGGUAUGUUCAGGUUUAAGCAGAGCACCGUGUUGGUGAUGAGAAUCACGAGGAGCAGCACAGACAGCGAGAUGGUGCUGAGGAGCUCUGGAGACGAUUACACCAGAUGCUUUUGAGUCCUUGCACAGGUGUGAUUUGUUGGCGAUCUCCUUGCACUGCCAGAGACUCUGCUUGUUUGAAGCGCAGUAAUAGUACCACAGUGUGCCGUUGUUGUGCACCAGAGGAGGGAG